UUUCUAACUGCAUUACUAUAGUUAUUUCUUAAUUUGUUAUACUUUUUUAUUAUUUUUUACUUUUUCACUUAUUCAACCCAUUUACCUGUCAGUACUUUAUCUCCAUUUCUGAAUGGUUUAACAGGUCUUCCAAGUCCUUGACGUUUUGCAUAAUUCACCUACAAUCUACAUAUCUUUAUAUCCUUCCACCACCCCACCAAUUGCUUGUUAAACUGUAUAUGACACUAU